UCAGGGAGUUGUUCAAACUGGGGCAGGCUUCUCAGUUUCAUUUCUCCAUGGGCCUAGACUGCACAGUUGCUCAAAUCUGGCUGUGGGUCUGGUGACUUGCAGCACUUGUUUGCCUCAGAAAGGCACCUAAGUCCCAUGAGUGACAAACCACGCUGCAGCCAACUUUUUGUGUAAGGAGAUGUUGACAUCUGUAAGGAAAGCUCACCGAGAUCCCGAAGGACGGCUGAAGAAAAUGCCUGUGGAAAGUGAGGAGUCUUGGGGCAGGGAUGGAGGUUGCGAUGGCCUCAGGGUGUUCAGUGCCAAGAUUAACCCCAAAUGGAGAGAGAGAAAAGUUGGUAAUUUUCUGGGUGUAGCUCUUCCACAUACUUGGUUAAAUUUUUGGGUCAUGUGGAGGGCACCUGGACACUGUUAUGGACAAGUAUAAAUGAGCUGAGAGACACUUAUGUGGUCUCACUCUUAAACUCCUGGUUCCUGCCCACCACAGAACAACAGAAAAUUGUGCCAAGAAACGUUAUGAGCGGGCAGGAUGUUGUUCUACCUGUCCAUAAUAAGACUCAAAGUUCUGUACGCAUCACAUGGUACAGAGGGAAUACCAUAAAAAAUGAUCAGAUCAUUGCAUUUCUUACAAUAAACUCAUUUUACAAUAUAAGAGGUCCUGCAGAUGGACCAGUAUCAAUAAACAAAGAUGGAUCCUUGGUGCUAAGGAAGGUCACCAUGAAUGAUACAGGAAUAUAUACCAUAGUAAUCCAACAUCCAGAUACAAGAAUGCAAAUAGGAUUAAGACAGCUUAAUGUAUAUGAGCCUGUGAGAAUGCCCAUCCUCCUAGCCAGCAACACCACUUUCACAGAGAAUAAGGGUGCUGUGGUCUUGACCUGCUACACAGAUGAGCUCACCCUCCAAUGGCUGUUCAAUGGCUUACAACUGCAGCUCACAGAGAGAAUGAAGCUGUCUGAGGACCACAGAAACCUCACCAUAGAUCCCGUCAAGAGAGAAGAUGCUGGGAAUUACCAGUGUGAAGUCUUCAACCCUAUCAGUUCUUUUGCAAGUGUUCCCGUUGAGCUGGAUGUAAAAUCUGAGUGAACCCCCUGUCCCCUUCUAUGUUGUUAGAGUCUAAAUAAAGGGUUUUUUGCAUCAUCA